GGUGUUAUUUAUUUUAUACAGAAUCAGAAGCACAAACCAGGGCUCAACUAAUCUGGAAUCAUCUCACUGUGUAGGAAGGUCCUAUUGAAGGUCUCACUGAAUUCUUCCAUUGUUUUCUCCAGCCUGUUUUUUCAUAGUGCAUAGCCAGUCUCCUUAUUCUAGACCUACUUUUGGAUAAUUCAGUUCUUCUUUAAAUCUUCCAAAAAAAUAAGAGAGGAAACACUUUUAAAGUUUUUCUGUGAGACAGAGUUAUCCUGAUACACAAGCCAGCAAAGGAACAAAAAAAAAAAUACAAAACAAAACAAUAAAAACUAUUGCUGAUGAACAUGAUUACAAAACCUUUAACAAAAUAUUUACAGAUUGAAUUCAACAGCAUGUUUAAGAGAUUAUACACCAUGACCAAAUGAUAUUUGUUCAUUGGAUGUAAGAGUGAUUCAACUUACACAAAUCAAUCAAUAUGAUAUACCACAUUAAGAGAAUGCAGGAUAAAAAAAAAUCACAAAUUAUCAUGUCAACAGCUACAAGAAAAACAAUGUCACAAAAUUAAACACUUUUUUAUGUUAAAAUGUCUAUAUAUUAGUUACACAAGGAACUUACCUUAAGACAAUAUAGGCCAUAUAUGCAAAGCCAACUAACAUCAUACUAAAUUCUAAAAUGAAAAAUGUUUCUCUAAGAUCUAGAACAAGGCAAGGAUGCCCAUUUUUGCUUAUAUUCAACCUAGUACUGUGAGUCCUAGCCAAAACAAUUAAGCAAGAAAAGGAAAUAAAAGAUAUCUAAAUUAGAAAGCAAGAAGCAAAAUUAUCUGUUUGCAGGUGAUCUAAUCUUACAUGCAGAAAACCUUACAGGCUUCACAAAAAUAAAUAAAUGAAUUUAGCACCACUGCCGGAUACAAAAUGAAUGUUCACAAAUCAAUUGCAUUUCUACACAAUAACAUCAUCAAAUCUUUAAAGGUGCUUAUUCAGUACAGUGAAAACAUUUGUCUUUUUGAAAAUUGACAUAAUUCUCAUUCUCGUUCUUCCCAAGUGCUUUUCUUCAUUAUUCUCAUGUAUUAUCUAUUCUUCCAUCAAAGCAUGUAUCACCAUUUUUUCUCAAAAUACUUAGGAAUAAAUUGAUUGGCAUUACUUUCUUAGGAUGAUUAAAUCCAUGUGUAAAAUCAUUCCGUUUUCAAGUGAAUUUUUUGGGUGGUUGGGAAUCCUGUAGAGUUUCUUCAUAGCUAAAGUGUGUUUUAAUACAGAUUAAUAUAUAUUAAGCAUUUGUUGUCAGCAAAAAUAAUCUUUUUUACCAAUAUUUACUCAGAUAAAGCUUUCAGUCACCCAAUAAGAUAGGUAUGUUUAUUCUCGUUUUAAAGAUAGGAAACUGUUCUGAAAGGUUGUGAUUAUUCUACAGGUACAAAAAUCGGUAAUUAAUAGAACAGGCUUCCUAUCUCAGUCACUUAUGUUACAAGGUCCAUGUUUUAUGGAACAUUGCAAAUUUUAAUAUUCUGCAAUGUGAGGUACUAUUACCAAAUCUUAUUAUUAUGAGUGGUGUUGUUAUCCCUAAUUAUAGAAUUUUGGUGACUAUAGCCAUUAUCUAAUUGAUAAUAUUUAAAAUAAAUCUCUUUUUUAAAAGGAAAUGUCUGAGGAAUUGUAUCAAUUUAAAUAAUUUCCAUCAA